rnacentral:misc_RNA from 1 species
GUCUCUCGGAGAUCUACCAGCAUAUGCCUGUCAACACCAACUCCUGGAACUGAAGAAAAGGAAUGCAUUAGACCUUAUAGUGAUUGUUCCGAUGUGUCCAGCAUGCAAAUUGGAGAAGAGGAAGAUGAGUGCUCAGUCAUGCCCGCACGAGUUUUUCACUCAAAUCAGGGCUUAGCUCAAGCUUGCAAAUUUGUACAUAAUGAUGCAAAAUUUGUAAAUGAAAGAGCACGUAAUGACAUUAUCUUACUUUCACGUGGAAUUAUGAGCUUGAAUGCCCGUGCACGCAAAGAUGUUGCUAUUCUUGGGUCAAAGUUUCUUAAACUUGAUGAGAAAAUCGACCGCAAC